UCUCUUCGUUGACUAAUACCCCCACCUCUACUCCAAGCUAGGUUUUUUUUUUUUCUUUUUCCCCAAAACCAUAGAAAAAACCCUUUAAAAUAGUGAAAACUUUAUACUGAAUUAAGGAAGACGAACAAGUAGUUUCUUGAUCAAUCAGUUCACAUGGGUUAUUACUUAUUUACCCCACUAAUCAAGGAGUAAGUUUCUCUUCUCUUAUCCUUUUUCAGAAUUUUCUCUUUUUAUCUGAAUCUUGAAAAUAUAUAAAAAAGGAAAAUUGAGAAAAGGUGGGAUUUUGGGUUUCUUUUUGUGAAUUUCAAGUGUUUAGGAAGGAUAAAAAUUGGUUCGUGGAAGUCUAUAGAGAGAAACAAUAAUUGGGUGUUGAGUAUUUUAUUGGUUCAUUUUUGUAAUUUGGGGAAUUUGAAAAGGUGGGGUUUUGUGUUUUUUUUUUUUUUUUUUUUGUGAAAUUCAAGUGUCUGGGAAGGAUAAAGAUUUGUUCUUGGAAGUGUAUAAAGUGAAAUAAUAAUUGGGUGUUGUGUAUUUUGUUGGGAAACUCACUUGUUGGAUGAUUUUUGGGAAUUUGAGGAAAUUGUUUUGAGCUGAUUUGAUGUGGGGAUUAUACUGUACUGCUGUAUAUUGUCUGUAUUGGGCAAAGAUCCUUGAAGGUUGCUGCGUGUGCUCUUGACGUCAUAUACAAAUUCAACUGAACUGUUUUCAGGGUAAACAUUGUUAUUGCAGUUUAAAAGUUUGCAACUUUGGUUUUGGUUCUUGCUUGGGUACCUUUUAAAUUUGUUAUGAUUGAAAAUUGGUUGAUAUCUCUCGAGGGUUUACUGUAGUGGUGUAAGUGCUGCUGAGGUUUUGUAUUGUCGUGAAGCAAAGUGAGUGUUUUGAUUGAAGUUCAUUGAUGGUUUGAAGAAGAGGUAAAACAACAUUUGAAGUUCAGUUACUGUAGAGGAGUAUUCAAAUGGAUAAUUCAGAUCGGUCUAAUAAUCGGAGUCUUGAUUAUUUGGGUGUGAAUAAAUUGGGGAAGAAUAUAAAGAAAAGUCCUAUACAUCAACCCAGUUUUAAUAAUGCAAAUAGUGCUAGACAACAAUCUCAACCCCAAGUUUAUAAUAUCAACAAAAAUGAUUUUCGGAGUAUCGUUCAGCAAUUGACUGGUUCGCCAUCACCAUCUCAAGAACCUCAACCUAGACCGAGACCGACUCAUAAUCCACCAAAGCCUCCAAGUAUGAGAUUGCAAAAGAUUAGGCCGCCUCCUUUGGCACCAAUUAAUCGUCCUCAAAUUCCUAUGCACCCUCCUGCACCGAUGCCAGUCCCAGGUCAACCUGCUGCUGGUGCUGCAUACAAUAACAAUUUUGCAAGGCCUCCUCCUCCUCCUCAGUAUGGUCAGCCAUCUCCCCCCAUGUUACCACCCUUUACCCCUGGUGAUGUUUGGGCCAAUACAGCCGAGUCUCCAAUAUCAGCUUACAUGCGGUACCUUCAAAAUUCAAUAAUAGAUCCAGGGCCUAAACAAACACAACCUCAAGGCCCUGCUCAGACUCAAGCACAUCCUCCAUCAGCCGGUUUACUUCCCAGUCCUUCAAUGCCGCCGCUUCCUUCUCCUAGGAUGAAUGGCCCGCCUCUCUUCCCAUCUCCUAAAAUGAAUGACCUACCUCUCCUCCCAUCUCCUAGAAUGAAUGUCCCUCCUCUCCUCCCAUUGCCUAGAACAAAUGGUCCACCUCCUCUACCAUCACCACGAAUGAAUGACCCGUCUCGUCUCCCAUUGCCUAGAGCAAAUGGUCCACCUCCUCUCCCAUCCCCGCGAAUGAAUGGUCCACAUCCUCCUUUCCCAUCCGCUAGGAUGAAUGGUCCUCCUCCCCCUCCCCCUCUUCCAUCUCCUAGGAUGAAUGGUCCUCCUCCACCUUUUCCAUCUCCAGGAAUAAACGGGCCUACUUUUUUGCCUUCCCCCACUUCUCAGUUCCUUAUGCAAUCACCCACUGGCUUCUACAACUUGUUAUCUCCUCGAUCACCUUACCCAUUGCUUUCUCCUGGUAUGCAGCAUCCUCCACCACUGACUCCGAAUUUCUCCUUCUCUCAAAUGGCUCAGCCUGGGAUUUUAGGCCCUGGACCACAGUUUCCCCCAUCUCCUGGUUAUGGAUUUCCUUUGUCACCUUCAGGGUUCUUUCCUAUGACAAGUCCAAGAUGGAGGGAUCAAUAGUGCUUGGGAAAAGACACCGACUCUGGACAGCUCCAGUGAAUGAUAUUGGUUUGAAGUAGUUCGUGAUGGAAAUCUUCUCCAAAUUCAAGCUUUAUACCUGUUGAGAUACAAUGUACCCUAGCUAAAUCUUUUGCUGCAUUCCGUCUUUGAUGAAAAACGGUACUUCAUAGCCAGUGAAGUCUUUGAUGAAAAACGGUACUUCAGAGCCAAUGAAGUCUUUGCCUGGUUGCAGCCUGCAAGAAACUGAGCUUGUAUUACCACAGAGUUGCGGGUGAGCUCAUAUUUGCUUAAUAUUCUUCAAGUGCCUUUGUAUUAAGCAAGGUUUCUCCUUAAAAUUUAAAAUCUGUGUACAAAUGGACAUCAAGUGGGAUCUGGGGAGGGUGAGGUGUACGCAGACCUUACCCCUACCCUUGUAGGGUGGAGAGGUUGUUUCCAAUAGACCCUUGGCUCGAGAACAUCAUAUCAAAGUUAGAACUUGUAAUAGUUUAACGAAUUAACUUCUUGAAAGUUGUAUGGAGUUUGAUUCUGUCAAGUGUAUUUUGGAUAUCUCAAAAUGGAAACCAGAGUGUUACAGAAUUGUCCAGUGGCUGUUGCUUCUAUAUUGAGACAGAGAGAGCUGCAGUAUUGUCCCACUCCUAGUAGCGUGAGGCUGCUGCUGAAAGCAGAUUAAAAUAACACAGGUUCAGACCAUUGAAUGAGCUCGUCGGCAUUUUCUUUCCGGUGGUUAAAGUAAGUAUUGCUUCAAUAAGACGUGCUAACAUAAUUCUUCCUGGGUUUAAGCUCAUAAAAUUUGACUUGGUAGUUAAGUAAGUCGAUGUGCUUUCGCCUACUUGCACAUUUGGUUUUGUGAUUCUUGCACAACUAGCAAGAGGAAAAUGCAGUGUCAACUUGCUCUACAACUUCUUGUCAGCUGCCAUUCUUCGUUUAUAUGAACGAUUCCUCGUUUAAGAAACUUUUUUCUGUAUACAUAUAUAAGAUCAUGUGAAAUUUUCCUUCACUGAAAUUGCUAUGCAUUCAUUAUGUUGGAACACUUUACGUGGGAA